rnacentral:rRNA from 1 species
CGCACACACCGCCCGUCACUCUCCCCGAGCUAACUUACUUAAAUUUAACUAAAAUAAUAAACUAGCACCAGGGGAGGCAAGUCGUAACAUGGUAAGUGUACCGG